rnacentral:rRNA from 1 species
GGUUAAGCGACUAAGCGUACACGGUGGAUGCCCUGGCAGGUCAGAGGCGAUGAAGGACGUGCUAAUCUGCGAUAAGCGUCGGUAAGGUGAUAUGAACCGUUA